CAGAUGGGAUGAUGAAAAAUGAGGGAGACCAGUCACUGUAGUCACAGAGAGGGGCGUUGGUAGGAGCAGGGGAGGCGAGAAACCAGCAUCAUCCCAUCUUCUCCUGCUGAACUUCCAGUCUGGGCUUUCUUCUGUCUCUCUCUCAAUCUCAGCUUCUGUAACAUGCCGACUGAAGAAGACCACCCCAGCAGAGAGUAACAAGACCUGCAAGCAUCAACCCCCCCAACACAAACAUACUCACCUCCCAAGAGACACAAUAACUCCACUCAUCCUUCCCCCCACAAACUCGAGAUACACAAACAGAGUCCUCCAUC